GACGAACGCUGGCGGCGUGCCUAAUACAUGCAAGUUGAGCGCUGAAGGUUGGUACUUGUACCAAGGGGAUGAGCAGCGCACGGGUGAGUAACGCGUGGGGAAUCUGCCGUUGAGCGGGGUACAAGAUGUGGAAAAGAAUGCUAAUAGCGCAUAAAAACUUUAAACACAAUCUUUAAGUUUGAAAGAUGCAAUUACAUCACUCACAGAUGAUCUCGCGUUGUAUUAGCUAGUUGGUGAGGUAAAGGCUCACCAAGGCGAUGAGACAUAGCCGACCUGAGAGGGUGAUCGGCCAGAGUGGGACUGCGACACGGCUCAAACUCCGACAGGAGGCAGCAGCAGGGAAUCGUCGGCAAUGGACGACAGUCUGAACGAGCAAAGCCGCGGGAGUGAAGAAGGGUUUCGGAUCGUGACACUCUGUUGGUAGAGAAGAACGUUGGUGAGAGAGGAAAGCUCAUCGAGUGACGGUAACUACCCAGAAAGGGACGGCUAACUACGUG
rnacentral:rRNA from 1 species